rnacentral:misc_RNA from 1 species
GCGUCUUUCGAGAUGCGAAGAGAAGUAAGAAGAUCGGCCUAGAAACCUGUCUAGCCAAGAUGGGGGAAAGCUCCCACCCAACUAAUGAAUAUGCACCAGAUGAAGACCGCUCCAGUAAAAAGGAAGUUUAAAGAACAAAAAACCUUUGAGGAAUUAGAUCCGCUCCGCUCUUAUCUUUUUCACAAUCGCCGACUACGAAAUGAUUAGGAAGUUAGCCAAAGGGAGGAAGCGGUACCCGGCAAAGGCCGAGAAAACUGAUUAGGAAGUUAGCUGGCUGGCUGAGGUAACUCUACUUGCCGAGGAGGAAAUGUCAAUUCUUGCUUCUUCCUUUUGAAUACCGGGAUUGCUAACUACUGUCCUUAACUCUUAUUGCCCUAGAAGCCAGAACUCUUAACGGCGGGAAGCGAAGGAACCGUAGGGCUUAGCUUAGGGCAGGGAGUGAGCCUUGGGUCAUAAUGAAUAUAGUAGGGCAGAACCAUGGGCGAUUGCCGCUGUUAGAGUAACUGCUGCAAUUGAAUCUGUUGUCGGAAGGGCUACUAGAGAGGAAGACUCCUUUGGCUCUUAUCGAAAUGAAUUGAAAAAAGGCUCUUCCCACGUAGCAGUAAGAAGGACGGGAGAAGGAGCAAUAGACGGGAUUGUUGGAAUUGGUGUGCUAGCUGCUCUAGAAAAGGGGGAACUGACUUGUGAAGCUGUGAGGAAAGCCCUUGUUGGCUAUAGAUAUGGGUCACUCACGUUAUAAGAAGAAGGAAGGGGAUAGUUAUAGGACCUGGAACUGAGACUGGUAAUUGGAUUUUCUUUCCUAGGGGCAGGAGCGGUAGUUGAAGGAAUGUUGCUUUGGCUUGAUUGCUUUCACCGGCCUUGCCUUUUCUUUUUUUCAAAAUGUAUUCUCGCAGUUGAAGAUAAAGAAAGGGCUGCUUGGCCUAGAAUUAGAGAAUUAGAGGAGGUAGUGGGGAUGGCACCGGCCUUUCUGUCUUUGUUGCCACUCCUUCUUUCAGUAGAUAGUCACUUCCUAUUGAUUGAUUCUAUUGGCUGACGCCUAGAGGAUUCACUAUAACUACCAGAGGGUCUUAAGAGAAAGCCCAUAAGAAAUGGGGUUUCGAACAUUAAAAAAGGCUAACGAAGGGAUAUCCAGUAUUAUCACACAUCAAGCCCACUAAAUCUUGCUUUUAGGGCUUUUAUCGCAGGCUGGAUGAUCUCUUUGCAAUUGAAUGCGCAGACGGUCUUUCGGAAUAAGUUGGAAGCUUUCGGGUUUUACAUUAGAGCUGGUCUUUCAUCAGCGUUUUUUGCCCGUUUUGGUGUUCACGUAUCCAGUCCAGUGCUUGAGUAAGCCCUUACCAUGUGAAAGAUCAUCUUCGGCAUAGAUUUCAUCGAGACAAAAUAUCAGGGGAAAUCGAUUUGAAUCUUUCGAGGUUUAAGACAACAGAUACACCGCUAUUUCCACGGCUCGGGGAUUCAAACUCUUCGUUCUUUCAUGCUGCUGAACGAACUAAACAGGCCAUAAAUUCUAUCAGAUCUAUUGUUGGGAAAAGCGGAAUCCGCGGGUUAGCUGCACGAUUUUAUGUUAAGGUUACAUCUUUAACUUGUGAUAACUCACACAGCAUCCAAGUCAUCAAAAUAUGCCAUCCGAGGCCUAUGUUUUAGGGUAAGGUAAGUUUUCUACGUGGAUCCUUCAUAGAAGUUUGCUGCUAUGAGCCCUUUCCCGAGGGGACUCCAUUCAGACGAAAAUAAGGGAAUGACAUGCUCUGGAAAAUUCAAUAAGUGAGCAAGAAAGCAAAUAGUGAUUUCAAGUAUAGCGCGAAGAUAGCAGAAGGCGGGUUUUCUGGAUGUUAGCAAA